rnacentral:rRNA from 1 species
GGUCUUUUGAGUAUGAUUUAAGAUCCGGCCUGCCCAAUGAUUAUUUCAAUGGCUGCAGUAUUUUGACUGUACAAAGGUAGCGUAAUCAUUAGUUUUUUAAUUGAAAGCUUGUAUGAAUGGCUUAAUGAGAAAACUUCUGUCUCUUUCUAAAUUUUGGAGAACUUUAUUUUUGAGUUAAAAAGCUCAAAUAUAAUUAAAAGACGAGAAGACCCUAUAGAGUUUUAUAAUAUUAGGUUUUUAUACAAUAGGAAUCAUUGGUUAUUUAAAUACUAUUAUUAUUUAAUUGGGGUGAUUUUAAAAUUUAAUAAACUUUUAAUAUAUUUUUACAUAUAUAUAUGAGUAAUUGAUCCAAUGUUUUUGAUUAAAAGAUUAAAUUACCUUAGGGAUAACAGCGUAAUUUUUUUGGCGAGUUCUUAUCGAUAAAAAAGAUUGCGACCUCGAUGUUGGAUUAAAAUAAACUUUUGGCGCAGUUGUUGAGAAGUUGGGUCUGUUCGACCUUUAAAAUUUUACGUGAUC